rnacentral:tRNA from 1 species
GGAGGCGUCUGGGUUCCUGGUGGUCCCCCCGGUCUUCAACACCGGUGAGGUCGAGCAGCUCGAUCUGGCGGGUUCGAUUCCCGUCCGCCUCCGCCA